AUUGAACGCUGGCGGCAUGCCUUACACAUGCAAGUCGAACGGCAGCGCGGGAGCAAUCCUGGUGGCGAGUGGCGAACGGGUGAGUAAAGUAUCAGAACGUGCCCAGUCGUGGGGGAUGACGUAGCGAAAGUUACGCUAAUACCGCAUACGAUCUAUGGAUGAAAGCGGGGGAUCGCAAGACCUCGCGCGAUUGGAGCGGCCGAUAUCAGAUUAGGUAGUUGGUGGGGUAAAGGCUCACCAAGCCGACGAUCUGUAGCUGGUCUGAGAGGACGACCAGCCACACUGGGACUGAGACACGGCCCAGACUCCUACGGGAGGCAGCAGUGGGGAAUUUUGGACAAUGGGCGCAAGCCUGAUCCAGCCAUGCCGCGUGCAGGAUGAAGGCCUUCGGGUUGUAAACUGCUUUUGUACGGAACGAAAAGGUUUGGCCUAAUACGCUGAACUCAUGACGGUACCGUAAGAAUAAGCACCGGCUAACUACGUGCCAGCCGCCGCGGUAA
rnacentral:rRNA from 1 species